GACGAACGCUGGCGGCGUGCCUAAUACAUGCAAGUAGAACGCUGAAGAGAGGAGCUUGCUCUUCUUGGAUGAGUUGCGAACGGGUGAGUAACGCGUAGGUAACCUGCCUUGUAGCGGGGGAUAACUAUUGGAAACGAUAGCUAAUACCGCAUAACAAUGGAUGACACAUGUCAAUUAUUUGAAAGGGGCAAUUGCUCCACUACAAGAUGGACCUGCGUUGUAUUAGCUAGUAGGUGAGGUAAUGGCUCACCUAGGCGACGAUACAUAGCCGACCUGAGAGGGUGAUCGGCCACACUGGGACUGAGACACGGCCCAGACUCCUACGGGAGGCAGCAGUAGGGAAUCUUCGGCAAUGGGGGCAACCCUGACCGAGCAACGCCGCGUGAGUGAAGAAGGUUUUCGGAUCGUAAAGCUCUGUUGUAAGUCAAGAACGGGUGUGAGAGUGGAAAGUUCACACUGUGACGGUAGCUUACCAGAAAGGGACGGCUAACUACGUG
rnacentral:rRNA from 1 species